UACGGGGGGGGCAAGCGUUGUUCGGAAUUACCGGGCGUAAAGGGCUCGUAGGUGGCCAACUAAGUCAGACGUGAAAUCCCCAGGCUCAACUUGGGAACUGCGUCUGAUACUGGAUGGCUUGAAUUCGGGAGAGGGAUGCAGAAUUCCAGGUGUAGCGGUGAAAUGCGUAGAUAUCUGGAGGAAUACCGGUGGCGAAGGCGGCUCUCUGGACCGAGACUGACGCUGAGGCGCGAAAGCGUGGGGAGCAAACAGG
rnacentral:rRNA from 1 species